rnacentral:rRNA from 1 species
GAUGGACUGCCUUUUGCAUAAUGAGCCUGCGAGUUGUGGUGUCUGGCGAGGUUAAGGAAACCCGGAGCCGUAGCGAAAGCGAGUCUUAAUAGGGCGAUUAGUCAGAUGCUGCAGACCCGAAACGAUGUGAUCUAUCCAUGAGCAGGUUGAAGCCGGUGUAAGAGCCGGUGGAGGACCCAACCGACGGCCGUUGAAAAGGCUCCGGAUGACUUGUGGAUAGGGGUGAAAGGCCAAUCAAACAUCGUGAUAGCUGGUUCUCUCCGAAAUAUAUUGAGGUAUAGCGUCGUGUAGUAGUUAUAAGGGGUAGAGCACUGAAUGGGCUAGGGCAUACACCAAUGUACCAAACCCUAUCAAACUCCGAAUACUUAUAGCGUAACCACGGCAGUCAGGCGGCGAGUGAUAAAAUCCGUCGUCAAGAGGGAAACAACCCGGACUAACAGCUAAGGUCCCCAAAUCUCAUUUAAGUGGAAAACGAUGUGAAGUUACUGAAACAACCAGGAGGUUGGCUUAGAAGCAGCCAUCCUUUAAAGAUAGCGUAAUAGCUCACUGGUCUAGUGAUUUUGCGCGGAAAAUAUAACGGGGCUAAAAUGAGUACCGAAGCUUUAGAUAGUGUCUAUGAUUAUUUAUACUAAGCUUGUCUCUUUGGCAUCUUUAAAUGAGCUUCAUUUUUUCUCCUGCGGCAACCUACACGGUUAGCCUUAGUCGAAAAAAUAUCAGCAACAUUUAAAUCUGCUCAAAGAUACUUCGCUUCUUACAUUAAAAUUUAAAUGCAAUGUCUUGAUUUAAAUUUUAGAAAUUUCAAAAUUUCUUAGAAUUUUAAAAUUUAGUAACAAAAGCAAAAAGAUAAGCCUAAGUAAAGUAUAAAUACUCAUAGACACUGUGGUAGGAGAGCGUUCCAAUCAGCGUCGAAGCCGUACCGGUAAGGAGCGGUGGAGCGGUUGGAAGUGAGCAUGCAGGCAUGAGUAGCGAUAAAAUACGUGAGAAUCGUAUUCGCCGUAAACCCAAGGUUUCCUACGCGAUGCUCGUCAUCGUAGGGUUAGUCGGGUCCUAAGCAAAGUCCGAAAGGGGUAUGCGAUGGAAAAUCGGUUAAUAUUCCGAUACCGAUAUCAGUGUGCGACGGAAGGACGCUUAAAGUUAGUGGAGCUAGCGGAUGGAAGUGCUAGUCUAAGGAAGUAGGUUGAGUUAUAGGCAAAUCCGUAACUCUUUAUCCGAGAUCUGAAAGGCUUCUGACGCUCUUCGGAGUAGAUGAAGAAUCCAUGAUACUAUCGAGCCGAGAAAAGUUUCUAAGUUUAGCUGAUAUCGCCCGUACCGUAAACCGACACAGGUGGGUGGGAUGAGUAUUCUAAGGCGCGUGGAAGAACUCUCUUUAAGGAACUCUGCAAAAUAGCACCGUAUCUUCGGUAUAAGGUGUGCCUAGCUUCGUUAAGAAUUUACUUCGUAAGCGAAGAAGGUUACAACAAAGAGUCCCUCCCGACUGUUUACCAUAAACACAGCACUCUGCUAACUCGUAAGAGGAUGUAUAGGGUGUGACGCCUGCCCGGUGCUCGAAGGUUAAUUGAUGAUGUUAGCUUACGCAAAGCAUCUGAUCGAAGCCCGAGUAAACGGCGGCCGUAACUAUAACGGUCCUAAGGUAGCGAAAUUCCUUGUCGGUUAAAUACCGACCUGCAUGAAUGGCGUAACGAGAUGGGAGCUGUCUCAAAGAGGGAUCCAGUGAAAUUGUAGUGGAGGUGAAAAUUCCUCCUACCCGCGGCAAGACGGAGAGACCCCGUGGACCUUUACUAUAGCUUGACACUGCUACUUGGAUAAAGAUGCGCAGGAUAGGUGGGAGGCUUCGAUUCGUAGAUCUCGGUUUACGAUGAGCCAUUGUUGAGAUACCACUCUUCUUUAUUCGGGUAGCUAACUAGCCUAAGUUAUCCUUAGGUAGGACAAUGUCUGGUGGGUAGUUUGACUGGGGCGGUCGCCUCCCAAAAUGUAACGGAGGCUUACAAAGGUUGGCUCAAAGCGGUUGGAAAUCGCUUGCAGAGUAUAAAGGCAAAAGCCAGCUUAACUGCGAGACAUACACGUCGAGCAGAGACGAAAGUCGGUCUUAGUGAUCCGGUGGUUCUGUGUGGAAGGGCCAUCGCUCAAAGGAUAAAAGGUACCCCGGGGAUAACAGGCUGAUCUCCCCCAAGAGCUCACAUCGACGGGGAGGUUUGGCACCUCGAUGUCGGCUCAUCGCAUCCUGGGGCUGUAGUCGGUCCCAAGGGUUGGGCUGUUCGCCCAUUAAAGCGGUACGCGAGCUGGGUUCAGAACGUCGUGAGACAGUUCGGUCCCUAUCUGCCGUGGGCGUAAGAAGAUUGAGGAGAGUUGACCCUAGUACGAGAGGACCGGGUUGAACCGACCACUGGUGUACCGGUUGUUCUGCCAAGAGCACCGCCGGGUAGCUAAGUCGGGAUGCGAUAAGAGCUGAAAGCAUCUAAGCUCGAAGCCGACUCCAAGAUGAAUCUUCUUUUAAGAGCUCUAGUAGACUACUAGUUUGAUAGGCCGGAUGUGUAAUGGAUGAAAGUCCUUUAGCUGACCGGUACUAAUAGCUCGUUUGCUUAUCUU